UGGGGUGUAGCUCAGUGGUAGAGCACUUCACUAGCCUGCAUGAAGCCCUGGAUUCAAACCCUAGUACUGCAA
rnacentral:tRNA from 1 species